rnacentral:misc_RNA from 1 species
AUUUUAUUUUCAAGGGAUUCUCUCUCCAGUCAAUCAAAUUCAAACUACUCAAUUGAUAUACUGUGUUUCCUUCAAAGUCGUCUUCUUCAAUUUUAUUGCUUUUAGUCUUUAUUUCUUGAUUCAUAUGGACAUGACCAUUCUUUUAGUGUUGAUAUUACUCAACUAGUCAAAGGAAGAUGCAUCUUCGUCGUCUAAAUAGAUUGUUUUUCAAAGCUAAAAAGUCAAUCUACUAGUGUCUUUGGUAAGGACUUUGGAUCGAUAUUCAUAGGUGACGUCUAUGUUCAUAGUAAAAAAAAAGAUACAAGAGUGAAUGUUGAGAAGGAGAAUGUACCUUCGUUUUCUAAAGUAAA